AUGAACGCUGGCGGCGUGCCUAAUACAUGCAAGUCGCGCGAACAGAUAAGGAGCUUGCUCCUUUGACGUUAGCGGCGGACGGGUGAGUAACACGUGGGUAACCUACCUAUAAGACUGGGAUAACUUCGGGAAACCGGAGCUAAUACCGGAUAACAUUUGGAACCGCAUGGUUCUAAAGUGAAAGAUGGUUUUGCUAUCACUUAUAGAUGGACCCGCGCCGUAUUAGCUAGUUGGUAAGGUAACGGCUUACCAAGGCGACGAUACGUAGCCGACCUGAGAGGGUGAUCGGCCACACUGGAACUGAGACACGGUCCAGACUCCUACGGGAGGCAGCAGUAGGGAAUCUUCCGCAAUGGGCGAAAGCCUGACGGAGCAACGCCGCGUGAGUGAUGAAGGGUUUCGGCUCGUAAAACUCUGUUAUUAGGGAAGAACAAACGUGUAAGUAACUGUGCACGUCUUGACGGUGCCUAAUCAGAAAGCCACGGCUAACUACGUG
rnacentral:rRNA from 1 species